rnacentral:rRNA from 1 species
UGGGGAAUCUUGCGCAAUGGGCGAAAGCCUGACGCAGCCAUGCCGCGUGAAUGAUGAAGGUCUUAGGAUUGUAAAGUUCUUUCGCCCGUGACGAUGAUGACGGUAACGGGAGAAGAAGCCCCGGCUAACUUCGUGCCAGCAGCCGCGGUAAUACGAAGGGGGCUAGCGUUGUUCGGAAUUACUGGGCGUAAAGCGCGCGUAGGCGGUUUUGCAAGCCAGAGGUGAAAUGCCUGAGCUUAACUUAGGAAUUGCCUUUGGGACUGCGAGGCUUUGAGGACGGGAGAGGUGAGUGGAAUUCCCAGUGUAGAGGUGAAAUUCGUAGAUAUUGGGAAGAACACCGGUGGCGAAGGCGGCUCACUGGCCCGUUUCUGACGCUGCAGCGCGAAAGCGUGGGGAUCAAACAGGAUUAGAUACCCUGGUAGUCCACGCUGUAAACGAUGAGUGCUAGGCGUCGGCACGCUUGCGUGUCGGUGCCGCAGCUAACGCGU